GCUCCCAUUACAGUGAGAAUACGCAGGAUCAUGACGGCACCCCACCUCCAGCUAUCUCCCUCUAUCGGUUUCUCUUCGCAAGCGCCCGUGCGACAUUUUUCUUCCUUCGACUAGCACCAGAUGUGAAAGCUCUUAGGUUUGUCAAUACCCGUGUAUCAAAUCUUGCAUACAAGAAUUAUUUGCCACCUUAUCUCUAUGGCUGUCUGCUCCUUAGGUAAUAAUGGAGAUCAUCACUCUUCAAAUCAAGAUACAGAUGCCACCAUCAAAAGUGUAGGUCUCAAAACUGCCAACUCGUCCCCUUGGAUGCCUCGCUUGCUGUUCCUUCCAUGUCUUACAUUCUCUGGAUAGCACCCCCUGUUUUUGUUGUAACGUAUCUUUCUUGAUCUCUAAUUGGGAGAUCAGUUCCGUUUCUCCUCAACCCCUGUCGCCGUUUUGUUCAAACAGCCCUUCCUCUUAUUGUAUACAAAAGCAUCCACCACAGCAGAACAGCGGACCGUCACAUGCGGGACGCAUAUACAUUUCACAUACAGGCGUGGCUGCUUCUUAAUGUUAAUGAUGUGAGACGUAACCUUUUUGGCUCCGCAUAACGUCUUACGGGAAUAUCCUGCGCCUGGAUUUAAAUACCCGUAUUUUUAAUUUUGCAUACCCACGCCUGCUAUAAAUAGUGCGGACCACAUACUCGAUACCUCUAGGGGUUCAUCCCUUACGUUUAGAAUAAAAUCUUAUGACGC
rnacentral:sRNA from 1 species